rnacentral:rRNA from 1 species
UGGGGAAUCUUGCGCAAUGGGCGAAAGCCUGACGCAGCAACGCCGCGUGGAGGAAGAAGGCCUUCGGGUUGUAAACUCCUGUUAGGGGGAAAGAAGGCACCCGGGUGAAUAGCCCAAGGGCUGACGGUACCCCCAGAGGAAGCCACGGCUAACUACGUGCCAGCAGCCGCGGUAAUACGUAGGUGGCGAGCGUUGUCCGGAAUUAUUGGGCGUAAAGAGCGCGUAGGCGGCUUGCCAGGUCCGACGUGAAACCCCGGGGCUCAACUCCGGACGUGCAUCGGAAACCGGCUUGCUAGAGUCUGGGAGAGGGGAGUGGAAUUCCUGGUGUAGCGGUGAAAUGCGCAGAUAUCAGGAGGAAUACCGGUAGCGAAGGCUGCUCCCUGGAACAGUACUGACGCUGAGGCGCGAAAGCUAGGGGAGCGAACAG